GACGAACGCUGGCGGCGUGCUUAACACAUGCAAGUCGAGCGGAAAGGCCCUUCGGGGUACUCGAGCGGCGAACGGGUGAGUAACACGUGAGUAAUCUGCCCUUGGCUUUGGGAUAACUACCGGAAACGGUGGCUAAUACCGGAUACGACGCACUCAGGCAUCUGAUGUGUGUGGAAAGUUUUUUCGGCCAGGGAUGUGCUCGCGGCCUAUCAGCUUGUUGGUGGGGUAAUGGCCUACCAAGGCUUCGACGGGUAGCCGGCCUGAGAGGGUGACCGGCCACACUGGGACUGAGACACGGCCCAGACUCCUACGGGAGGCAGCAGUGGGGAAUAUUGGACAAUGGGCGGAAGCCUGAUCCAGCAACGCCGCGUGAGGGAUGACGGCCUCGGGUUGUAAACCGUCUUUCAGUACCGACGAAGCGCCGAUGAUGGUGGUGACGGUAGGUACAGAAGAAGCACCGGCCAACUACGUGCCAGCAGCCGCGGUAAU
rnacentral:rRNA from 1 species